UGGGGAAUAUUGGACAAUGGGGGAAACCCUGAUCCAGCCAUGCCGCGUGAGUGAUGAAGGCCUUAGGGUUGUAAAGCUCUUUCAGCGGGGAAGAUGAUGACGGUACCCGCAGAAGAAGCCCCGGCUAACUUCGUGCCAGCAGCCGCGGUAAUACGAAGGGGGCUAGCGUUGUUCGGAAUUACUGGGCGUAAAGCGCACGUAGGCGGUUAACAUAGUCAGGUGUGAAAGCCCCGGGCUCAACCCGGGAACUGCACUUGAUACUGGUUGACUAGAGUUCGGGAGAGGAGAGUGGAAUUCCCAGUGUAGAGGUGAAAUUCGUAGAUAUUGGGAAGAACAUCAGUGGCGAAGGCGGCCCUCUGGUCCAGUACUGACACUCAAGUGCGAAAGCGUGGGGAGCAAACAGGAUUAGAUACCCCCGUAGUCCCUGAGCGGGCUGGCAAGGCGCAU
rnacentral:rRNA from 1 species